AUCAGAUCUUGCUAUAGUAUACUAACAUGACGGGCUACAGCGGACAGAUGACUGCGAAGGCAGUAGCGAUUCUGCUCCUUGUGGUUCUUGGAUGCCACGCGUACUCCGCACACUGUAGCCGUGAGCUGGGGGACGAUGCGAUAUGGGCCGGGUCCAAACUCAAUCCAGGAGUACUGUGCAUAAAGAAUCUAUGCUCCGGUGACAAAUUGAGCAAAUGUUUCUGUUGUGCAACGCUGCCCGACGAUCCUUGCUGGGACACCGCACAGGAGUGCAGGAAGAAUUGCCCGUCGUCGCAGAACCAUCGGAUUGACAUAUAAAAACUUAGUGUAGUUCGGAUAAGUCCAGCCUCAUCAUCUGCGAGCGAUGAGUAAUAAUUUCAAUCAACUGUCUUAUUCAGAAAUAGCGAUGUGACCCGCGGAAUAUGUGGCUAAUUAUGUCAUAGACUCAUAGUAUGUCGUAUCAUUUUCUCUCAGUGUGUUUACCAAAUCGGUUGCUAUUUCUAAGACAACAGGUAAAUAAGGAAUA